GUGCUUACUUUGGCAGCACAUAUUCUAAGAUUGGAAUGCUACAGAGAAGAUUAGCAUGCCUCCCCAAAAAUAAAAUCUUGUAGAAAGACCUGAAUAUAUUACAU